UCGGAUGUUUCCCAAGCUGUCUGCAUCGGUCGAGACGAUCACGGCGAGCAACCUAACAUCCCACAAUAUCGAUAUCGCAUUCAACUUUCACGUAGGCCGAUAACGAUCUAAUCUAUCAGAGCUCCUUCAACGAAGAAGCAACUGCAACAGCAG